GAGCUUCAUCCAAUCAGCUGAAGAUGUUAAAAGCAAAAACUGAAGUUUCCUAAAGAAGAAGGAAUUCUGCCUCAAGACUGUAUCAUAGAAAUCUUUCCUGAAUUUUCAGCCUGCUGGCCUGCUCUAUGGAUUUUGAACUUGCCAUCCCCCACAAUCAGCGAGUUCAGAACAUAAGCUCCUCUUCAAAGUAAACACAGGCACAUGAAAACUUGACAGAAAAGGAGUGGAGGAUGUGAACUGGAUAGAUAUGGGAUAAAGUAAUAAAAGUGAGAGGGAAGGAAGUUGAGUUACAGAUGGUUAACUCCCACUUGUAUGUCCCGUGCUGGUGAAGUAAUACCAGGUGUACAUCAACUGUUAUGGGAAUGAGGUGGAAACAAGGGUCUUUGAAUAGAGGUGGGGGGAGCAAACCUCUGCUAAAGUAGACACAGAGAUCAGAAGCAACGAAGUCAAAGCUGCUUCCCACCAAGCUGUGUGGUC
rnacentral:lncRNA from 10 species